GUUGUUGCGGUUAAAAAGCUCGUAGUUGGAUUUUGGGCGCAGGCGGCCGGUCCGUCGCAAGGCGUGUACUGGACGUCCUGGCCUUCCCUCCGGUUCUCCGCCGGUGCUCUUGACUGAGUGUCGGCGGCGGCCGGAACGUUUACUUUGAAAAAAUUAGAGUGUUCAAAGCAGGCUCUCGAGCCUGGAUAAUGGUGCAUGGAAUAAUGGAAUAGGACCUCGGUUCUAUUUUGUUGGUUUUCGGAGCGCGAGGUAAUGAUUAAGAGGGACAGACGGGGGCAUUCGUACUGUGCCGUUAGAGGUGAAAUUCUUGGAUCGGCGCAAGACGAACGACUGCGAAAGCAUUUGCCAAGAAUGUUUUCUUUAAUCAAGAGCGAAAGUCAGAGGUUCGAAGACGAUCAGAUACCGUCCUAGUUCUGACUAUAAACGAUGCCAACUAGCGA
rnacentral:ncRNA from 1 species